GUGAAAUCAAUUCAGAAAAAUUCUGGUGUCGGAACCCUACCACUUGCAUUCUCAAGCUAGGCCUCAACCCAGCCUCAAAUCUCUUACACCGGUCUCUGGGGGCGGUGACUAAGCUUCCAGCAUAAUGGCUUAGCCUUGAAAAAUCCCGCUCAUAUUCUGCUACAGUUCUAUCACCUUGCUUUAAACUUAAAAACUCUUGCAGCUUCAUGUCUACAUAAGUAUUGGGGACCCACUUUUGUCGAAAUUCCCUUAAAAAGUCUGCCCAUGUGAGGACUGGUGGCUGUACCAGACUGUAGGGGAUGGUCUUCCACCACUCAUAUGCAUCUCCAUGCAGUAGGGAAACUGAGUAUUCGAACUUCAGAUCAUUUAUCCUGUGUAAUUUCUUGAAUAUCCUCUCCAUUCUCUCAAGCUAUUAUUCUGCUUCCAAUGGAUCUACUGUACCCUUGAACUUUAUUGCCCCAUACUUCAUUAACUUUUCAUACUGUAUGGCUGGGGGUGGUGGUUGCACUGGAGGUGCUUUUAUUGGAGCUUGGAUAGGUAUAUUGCCAGCCAUUUCUUGAAAUAGUGUAGCCAUCUGCUAAGUGAACUGAGCAGAAAACUGCAUGGGCAGGAAGAGUGCAACUGACUCACUGGAAUUUUGAGGAACUGGGGCCUCCCCCUGUAACUCAGCUACUACAGAUUGCUCUACGGUGUGAUCCCCCUCUUCCAUGAUGAAUCAUAAAGAAUUUUACUCCCUGAACAACUAACACAAGGAGGUUUCCCUCACUUAGUCCAUAUUCAUGAUGUAAUGCACUAUAUGUAUCAAUUAAUGAUAAUUGAGCAGUUGUACUUAUCAAAAUAUUUUAAAUAUGAAAUUAAAAAGUUGUAUGAAAACCAAAGCUCUGAUACUACUAAAACAUAUCACACCUUAUCCCUUGUAAGGCAUG
rnacentral:misc_RNA from 1 species